GCCUUGGAUAGUCAUAAAAUAAGCCUAGUUCGGCCUAUAAUUCUAUAUUUUUGAUAGUUGGGCCACGAAUCCUAUAGGAUUUUGGGCCCAACUAUCCAAAUAGACUCUUAAUAGGAGGGGCUCACAAAUCAUCUUCCUCUCUCUGUCAUUUGUGAUAGGGACAAUGUGUGACUUGGCUGGAAAAACAAACCUUCAUUAUCUUGAAAGUAGUAUAUCGGUGGCACUUUGGAGUCUGAAGCUUCCAAAUCUAUUUUUGAGUUAAUGUCUCUUCAAUUGCCA
rnacentral:lncRNA from 1 species